GGGAAACUGCAUUUGUGAACUGGCGAGCUAGAGUAUGGCAGAGGGGGGUAGAAUUCCACGUGUAGCAGUGAAAUGCGUAGAGAUGUGGAGGAAUACCGAUGGCGAAGGCAGCCCCCUGGGCCAAUACUGACGCUCAUGCACGAAAGCGUGGGGAGCAAACAGGAUUAGAUACCCUGGUAGUCCACGCCCUAAACGAUGUCAACUAGUUGUUGGGUCUUCAUUGACUUAGUAACGUAGCUAACGCGUGAAGUUGACCGCCUGGGGAGUGCGGUCGCAAGAUUAAAACUCAAAGGAAUUGACGGGGACCCGCACAAGCGGUGGAUGAUGUGGAUUAAUUCGAUGCAACGCGAAAAACCUUACCUACCCUUGAGAUGGACGGAACCCUGCUGAAAGGUGGGGGUGCUCGAAAGAGAACCAGUACACAGGUGCUGCAUGGCUGUCGUCAGCUCGUG
rnacentral:rRNA from 1 species